rnacentral:lncRNA from 1 species
AUGUCGGGAUCCCCUCCUCCACCAGCCUCGGCCCCGUCCUGCAGCUCCUUCUGCCGCGGGGAGCCUCCGUCGGCUCCCGCGUCCUUGUUUUCAUGCUGCUUCUCGCCCGGUACCGACUCGUCCUGCGCGUCCCGGUCCGGCUUUUUGAGUUCGGAAGGCGGGCUGGUGUUGAGAGUGGCGACCUGCGCGGCCAUGAUUCCCGGUGUGUCGGUCCUCCUCCGGUGUGUCAGCGCGGCGCCUCACUCGCAGACGAACUCCGGACAACCAUGGAAAAUAAAUACGAUUAUUUCAGCAACGACGUCCCCGCCGUCCCGGUUCAUCCCCCCGCUGCCCUCCUCCCGGACCGAUCUCCGCAUCCAGUCUGGGAAUGAGGCCACAUUAUCACCACGGCAACCCAGAAUUGUGGCGUGGAAUCUGCUAACAAGAGUGCAGUUGAAUUCAGGCACGCAUGCACGGUGCACACCCACGUGCACAGCAGCCAAACACCAGCCGUCGUGGACAAAAAGAAAAAUUUAUGACCCUGAAGAGUGGCUGAGUUGCUCUGAGCGCGAGGGUCUGUCCCACGCCGGAGCCACACGCAAACGCCCAGAUCGCUGCUGGACGCUGUCCAGACGGUUGCCAGGCAGCCCAGCAUACGGUCCAGUGAGAGAACAGGAAGGAAGUGGGCCUUCCUAAAGUCCAAGUCAUUCCCAGACACAACCUGCUGAUCGACCUCCCUCCCCCGUGAACAGGUACGUCCCUGAGGGGCCCGACACUUUCACCUUUCUGCUUCAAAACAGCCAGAAUGACGGUCAAGACUUCAGCCGGACGGCGAUGAAAGCUUCUCUGGGGAUCAGAACGAAGAACCCGGUUUUAGCCAACAGCAUUGUGCUUUUACAGGCCAAACUGCUGGUCUGCUCGUGUCUCCCCCCCCUGCAGUGACCCCUGAACUCUGAUACGACCCGUUAGAACUCACUGACGGGACACCACACCGAAAAACUGGAAUAGGAUCAAGUAUGGACUCACUUUGAUGCAGUUUUCUCUGACAUGAAAUGACUUCUUUUUGGAAAUAUCCACGGUAAAAUGAAUUUUUUCGUUCUUUUAGUAAAUGCAUUUAGUGAAGUCGUUUUAUCUUGAGGUGUUUUUAUUCUCCAAUUGCUUUUUGAAUGACAGCAGAGAUGAUUCAUCGUGUUUCUUUGCAUUUUCUGUAAUCCUUUAUUCAGUAAACUACAGAUGAAUGACGGACUGUAAAACAAAGAAAUGAAUGAAGCCUCAUGAGCUUCAGAGGGCUGGGAGUUGAAAGCAGCCAACAACAGAUGAAAAGAAACGCCAUCAUCCCAGUGCUUUGAGCAUUCUGGGAAAAACUUAAAAACUCCCCUCCAUUUACCUGCACCUGCAUCUUUCCUGCAGGGUGGGGUCAAAAAAUUGCAGGAAAAAUAGACGUGUUCAGCUCCACACGAACUGCCUCAUAUGGCGGCGUCCGAAUGUCACGUGUGACUUACUCUGCUCGUUUUCCAGAGCAUGCUGGGAGGGGUCUAAAGGGG